rnacentral:rRNA from 1 species
GACGAACGCUGGCGGCGUGCUUAACACAUGCAAGUCGAACGGAAAGGCCUGCUUUCCCUUGUGGAUUGCGGGUACUCGAGUGGCGAACGGGUGAGUAACACGUGAGUGAUCUGCCCCCAACUUGGGUAUAAGCCUGGGAAACUGGGUCUAAUUCCCGAUAGGACUGCAGGGUGGUGCCUGUGGUGGAAAACGAUUUUCUAGUGGUUGGGGAUGAGCUCGCGGCCUAUCAGCUUGUUGGUGGGGUAAUGGCCUACCAAGGCGGCGACGGGUAGCCGGCCUGAGAGGGUGGACGGCCACAGUGGGACUGAGAUACGGCCCAGACUCCUACGGGAGGCAGCAGUGGGGAAUAUUGCACAAUGGGCGGAAGCCUGAUGCAGCGACGCCGCGUGGGGGAUGACGGCCUUCGGGUGGUAAACUCCUUUCGACCGCGAGGAAGCCACCUGGUUGGAAGGGUGGUGACGGUAGUGGUAGAAGAAGCACCGGCUAACUACGUG